rnacentral:rRNA from 1 species
UGGGGAAUAUUGGGCAAUGGGCGAAAGCCUGACCCAGCGACGCCGCGUGAGGGAAGAAGGUUUUCGGAUUGUAAACCUCUGUCCUCGGGGAAGAUAAUGACGGUACCCGAGAAGAAAGCCACGGCUAACUACGUGCCAGCAGCCGCGGUAAAACGUAGGUGGCAAGCGUUGUCCGGAAUUACUGGGUGUAAAGGGAGCGCAGGCGGAAUGGCAAGUUGGACGUGAAAUCUAUGGGCUCAACCCAUAGCGUGCGUUCAAAACUGCUGUUCUUGAGUGAUGUAGAGGUAGGCGGAAUUCCCGGUGUAGCGGUGGAAUGCGUAGAUAUCGGGAGGAACACCAGUGGCGAAGGCGGCCUACUGGGCAUUUACUGACGCUGAGGCUCGAAAGUAUGGGGAGCAAA